GACGAACGCUGGCGGCGUGCUCAACACAUGCAAGUCGAACGGUAAGGCCCUUCGGGGUACACAAGUGGCGAACGGGUUAGUAACACGUGGGUGAUCUGCCCUGCACUUCGGGAUAAGCCUGGGAAACUGGGUCUAAUACCGGAUAGGACUCCUGGCUUCAUGGUUGGGGGUGGAAAGCUUUUGCGGUGUGGGAUGGGCCCGCGGCCUAUCGGCUUGUUGGUGGGGUAAUGGCCUACCAAGGCGACGACGGGUAGCCGGCCUGAGAGGGUAACCGGUCACACUGGGACUGAGAUACGGCCCAGACUCCUACGGGAGGCAGCAGUGGGGAAUAUUGCACAAUGGGCGCAAGCCUGAUGCAGCGACGCCGCGUGAGGGAUGACGGCCUUCGGGUUGUAAACCUCUUUCAGCUAUGACGAAGCGCAAGUGACGGUAGUAGCAGAAGAAGGACCGGCCAACUACGUGCCAGCCGCCGCAGUAA
rnacentral:rRNA from 1 species